UGGAUCCUGGUGGAUCCCAGACCUCGUGGUGACCUCGUGGUGGCCUGGUGGUGACUCCCCCAUCUCCUGCAGGACCUGAAGAUCAAGAACAUGGGCUCGUGGGCGUCGCUGGUGCAGAAGCACCCGGCGGCGCCGGCGGCGGCGGCCAAGUCCUCGAGCGACUCCUUCGAGCAGUUCAAGGCGGGCGGCGCGCGAGAAGGAGGAGCGCGAGAAGGCCCUCAAGGCCCAGGCCGAGCAGGUGGAGCGCGAGAAGGAGCGGCUCAGGAGGGAGCAGGAGAGGAUGAGGACCCGGGAGGACGAGGAGGCGCUGGAGCAGGCGCGGCGGGUGCACGAGGAGGUUCGGCGGCGCCAGGAGCAGCAGCAGCAGCCGCAGCCGCCGGCGGCGCCGGGCUCGGUGUCGGUUCCGGGUUCCGUUCCCGGUUCCGUUCCCGGCUCCGUUCCCGGUUCCGUUCCGGCUCCGUGCCCGGCUCCGUGCCCGGCUCGGUGUCGGUGCCCGGCUCGGUGCCGGUGUCGGCGGCGUCGGCGGCGCCGCAGCCGCCGGGCCCGGCCGGCUCCUCGCAGGCCAUGCUGGACCAGCAGCGGGAAAUGGCGCGCAAGAGGGAGCAGGAGAGGCGGCGCCGGGAAGCGAUGGCGGCGACGAUCGACAUGAACUUCCAGAGCGACCUCUUGGCGAUUUUCGAGGAGAAUCUUUUCUAGGAGAGGCUGACUCCGGCCGGGAAUUUUGACUUUUCCCAAAAAAAAAAUAAAAAAACAAAAACAAAAAAAAAAACCCGACCAAAAAAAAAAGUGGAAAAAUACCAAAAAAAAAGAAAAAAAUUCCUUUUUUUUUUUUUUUUCCCUUUCCCCUUUUUUUCCUGGCCAAAAAUGACGCGAAAACAAAAAAAAAAAAAAAGCAAAGUUCGGACUGUCCGUUAAAUAUCGGAAAAAAUUCGGGAAUGGGCCGAGGGGCGGGGCUGCCUUUACCCCGAAUUCCGAUUUUUUGGUCCUUUUUCCCUUUUUCACACCAAAAAUGAAAAAAAACCCAACAAACCACCUGGGAAUUGCCGGGAUUUUAAUUUGAAUUUUCUUUGGAAUUUUUUUUUGGUUUUAAUUUUUUGGGGGUUUUUCUUUCCUCCGGCAGCGGCGAAAAAAAAAAAAUGGGAAAAAGAAAAAAAAAUCCCAAAUUUUUUUUUUUUUUUUGGCGGAUUUGGGGCUUUUUGGGGAGGAGUUGGGGGAGGGGUGAUGGGGGAGGGGCGCCCCCUCCCCACCCGCAGCCUCAGGGACUUCCCCCCUUCGCCUUUUCCCAUUUUCCUGGAAUUUCUCCUUUUUUUCCCACUUUUCCCCCCUCCUUUUUUAAUUUCCUUCCUUUCCCAAAAAUUCCCUUUUUUUUCCCUGACGUUUUUCCAUUUUUCCUCAUUUUUUUCAAAUUUUUUCCUGAUUUUCUUUCCUAAUUUUUCCUGAUUUUUUUUCAAAUUUUUCCUGAUUUUUUAAUCAAUUUUUUCCCUUCUUCUUUUUUUGGUUUUUCCCUGAUUAUUUUUUCAAAUUUGCCUGAUUUUUUCCUUUUUUUCCCUGUUUUUUUUUCCUCCAAUUUUCCCACAUUUUCCCCCGAUUUCUUUUUAUUUUCCCCCUGAUUUCUUUUUAUUCUGUUCCUCAUUGUUUUUCCUUUUUUAUUUUUCCUGAUUUUUUUCAAAAUUUUCCCUUUUUUUCCUGUUUUUUUUUCAAAUUUUUCUUCUUUUUUUUUCAAUUUUUUCUGCUUUUUUUUUUCCUGUUUUUUUCAAAUUUUCCUCUUUUUUUUCUGGUUUUUUUUCAAAUUUUUUCUCUUUUUUUUUCAAUUUUUUCUGCUUUUUUUUUCUUCCUGUUUUUUUCAAAAUUUUCCCCUUUUUUCCUGUUUUUUUUCAAAUUUUUUUUUUUUUUUUUUCAAUUUUUCCUGCUUUUUUUUCCUUUUUUUUUUCAAAUUUUCCUGAUUAUUUUCCUUGAUUAUUUUUCAAAUUUUUUUCUCUUUUUUUCAUUUUUUCCUGCUUUUUUUUCCUGUUUUUUCAAAUUUUCCUCUUUUUUUUUGUUUUUUUUUCAAAUUUUUUUUUUUUUUUUCCAAUUUUUCCUGCUUUUUUUCCCGCUUUUUCUCCAAUUUUCCUGAUGUUUUUUCCUUGAUCAUUUUUCAAAUUUUUCCCAGCUUUAUUCUUAAUUUUCUUUGCUUUUUCUCUUUCUCCUUUUUCCUUUCCCCCAUUCUUAAAAUUUUCCCAUUUUCCCCCAAUUUUCCUUAUUUUUCCUUUUUUCCUCCUUUUUCCCCUUCCCGUUUUUAUUUUCCCAUUCUUUAUCUUUCUUUUCCCCCUUUAAUUUCACUUUUUUUUUCCCCUUUAAAUUCCUUUUUUAUUUUCCCCUCUUUUCCCUUUUUUAAUUUGAAUUUCUCCAUCAAAAUUCCCGUUUUUUCCCCCGUUUUUCCCAUUUUUUCUCCGUUUUUUUUCCCCAUUUUCCCCCAUUUUUUAUGAAUUUCUUAUUCUAAAAAAAUUUUUUUAAUUUUCCCCCCUUUUUCCCCUCCCUCCCCUCCCCCUUUUCCCCCAAAAGCUGCUGCCACCGAAUAUUUUUUUUAAUAAUUUCCCAUUUUCCCCCCAUUUUUUCCCAUUUUAAUUCCAUUUUUUUUAUUUUUACUUUUUCUCCAUCCCUUUUUACCCAAAAUCCCGGGAAUUCUCCCCGUUUCCCCCCCCCCCCCGGGUUGGAUUAAUUAUUAAUAAUUAAUUAAUUUUAUUUGGGUUGGGUUUUUUUCCCCGCCGGGGUUUCUCCGAUCGUGGAAUAAAAAACGCUGCGAGUUUGGUUUUGUAUAAAAAAACACCAAAAAAACAACAAAAAAAUACCCCGAAUUUUUCAGGUUUUUUAUCCCCAAAAAUCCCCAAAAAUUGAAAGGGAGAGGGGGAGGGGGGAAAUGGGA
rnacentral:lncRNA from 1 species